rnacentral:rRNA from 1 species
GUCCACGCCGUAACGAUGAGAACUAGACGUCGGAGGGUCUGCUCUUCGGUGUCGUAGCUAACGCGCUAAGUUCUCCGCCUGGGGAGUACGGCCGCAAGGUUGAACUCAAGGAAUUGACGGGGCCCGCACAAGCGGUGGAGCAUGUGGUUUAAUUCGAUGCAACGCGAAGAACCUUACCUGGUCUUGACAUCCUAGGAAUCCUGCAGAGAUGCGGGAGUGCCUUCGGGAACCUGGAGACAGGUGCUGCAUGGCUGUCGU